AUGGCGUCAUCGGAGGGACGUCGUCGUCGGCGGGGCAAAAAGAGCAAGGCCAAAAAGAAGAAGAAAGAGGCCGGACCGACGAUCGUGCAGGACCUCCCCGACCAUCUCUUCGAGCUCAUCCUCGUCCGCCUCGGCCCGUCCCCAUGCCUCGUCCGCGCCGCGGCCGCCUGCAAGCGGUGGUGCCGCGUCGUCGGGAACCCCGGCUUCUUCGCCCGCUUCGGCCCGGUCCACGCGCAGGCGCCGUACGUCGGCGACUACCACACCGUGCAGGGGGGACAACCCCUCUUCGUCCCCUCCUCGCCGGUCGUCGUCGACCGCAGCCGCUUCUCCCUCGAGUUCCUCCCGGAGAGCGGAUCGUGGGAGAUCGCCGACAGCCGCGGCAGCCUCCUCCUCCUCACCAAGAAGAGGGCGCCGCAGAGCUGGCGCGACUACUCUCGCUGUGUUCGCCACUACCCCGACCUUAUGGUAUGCGAGCCGCUCGCCGGACUCUACCAGAGAAUCCUCUGGCCGGAGGAUCUGGACGGAAUUGGCCGCCUUGGCGUGUUCCUGCUUAACGGCGACGACGCGGGCCGCCGCGUCAGCACGUCCAACUUCAGGGUCCUAGCGGCCGUCGACGAAACCGUGGCAUGUGUGUUCUCCACGGGCAGCGAGGGCGGCUGGCGCAUUAUUUACAGCGAGAUCACCAGCCACGUCGAGCUCCCAAAGCUCGGCCCCGAAAAUUUCGUAGGGCGUGCAAACGGCACUCUGUACUGGGGAAUUGACGGAUGCGCCACCGCCGUUCUUGCUCUUGACGAGACCACGGCGGAGUUCUCGAUCGCCGCAUUCCCGGAGAACGUCUGGGGGCCGUCCCACAUACGGACCUCGCGGAUCGUCGGCGGCGAGGACGGCACGCUGCGCGUCAUCCGCCUCAUAGGCAACGACCUCAAGGUCUUCGCCAAGCGGCAUGCGGGCAGUGACGAGGAUGAGUGGUUGCUGGAGAUGCACCUGAGGUUGCCGGAGGCCACCCUUGGGCUGCCGGGGCGCGAGGAGCACUUUUUCCGGCAACAAACCAUGAUUGUUGCGGCGAAUACCAGAUACGUCCUGCUGACACCGAGCGAGAAAUCGUGGUUGUUCUCUGUUGAGCUUGAUACAAUGCGAGUAGAGAGCAAACACGAGAGAAACAAGUACGCCGGAGAGGCGUACCCGUGCAAGUUGCCAUGGCCGCCAGCCUUGGCUGAUCAUGGCAGGGAAAGGAGGUGA
rnacentral:rRNA from 1 species